GGGGACUGGCCCAGAUUUCAGGGGUGAAAUCUGUGUACUGUGGACAGCAAUAUCCAGUGGGGUCAAGCAGCUGUGUAAUUGCCAUCUCCUACACUGACACUUGCUGUGCAUUUUUGAGGUGGCAGGGGCAUGGAGUGGCUCAGCUCAUAGACAAACAGUGACUGAUUGGAGGUACUGGCAGAAUCACCAUCACCAAGUGCGGGAGAGUCAGGAGGGUGAGAAGCAGCCACAGCCGCUCCAGCAUCUUCCUGCCCUGCAAACUCAAGGAUCUCAGAGCCGGACACAUCGUCUCUCUAAGGCCGGUUAUUCUGCUCUUCAGACAUUUGACACCAAUAUUCAAAUUCUUCUUUCACACGUUCCCUCUCUCCCCCUCUUGACCCACAAUUUGUGAUGAUCUUUUUCUAGCCCCUUAUAUACUUUACUCUCUCCUUCUCUUUGACACUCCCUUCCAUUCCACUCCUCCCUUUCCCAGUCUCCCCACGCUUUCCUGGGCUUUUUUUGUAUCUUCUGUUCCUUUUUCUGUCCAAGCAGUAUUCUGUGCCUCUGUUCCUGUUCUUGUCACUCAGACCUUCCUACCCAAACCUCGACCACCAAUGGGCCCUGCCAAGCCUUCCAGGUUUGGUCAGGUUGUAGAAUUUCACCCAAGCAUCCUGCCUCACCUCCCCUGUUCCUGAACCUUUCCCUCUAAAGUUGUUUGAAAUUAUCUUUCUCCCUCACACACAGAUUCAUGACAGAACCGGAAAAUGCUGCUGUCCCCUUCCCCUCUGGCUUAUCCAAGACACUUCAAGCCCCAAUAAGAAGCCCCAGUAACUCCACUUAGGGGCAACACACUGAAAGCAAUGGGUAUCCUGGGAAGCACACCAUAAACAGUGACAAGUACCUUCACCACUGUGUCACCCCUGCCACCAGCAACCAAUGCCAGCAAAGGGCCACUAUUUAAUUGAGGGAAGAGGGUGUCUCUCUGCCCUGAAAGUGGAGGCAGAAGUUGGGUGUCUGGCUGUAAUGGGCAUAGUAGAGAUAGAAAGAGCCUGGAGCACUGGACCUGGUACAAGACUGGUGGCCUGACACAGGCUGUGAACCAAAGUCAAUCCAUGUGUCAUGGAGUCACCGGGCCAAUGCUCUGGAACUACCCCGUACAAAGCCAGUCGGGACCCUAGGGUAGCAUGCCUCCUCUCUCUGAGCAUACUGUCACCAGGGCAAGAAGCUUACACAGCUUUAACCUUCCUGGAUCUGACCUCGGAGCAUUCAGCAUCCCCUUCCACACCUUGUGCUUCCUGCAGCGAGUCCACCUGGGCAGGGCUCCUGGGGAAGCUAGAGGGUCCUGCACCCCAGCUCCUCAGUCAGCAGUGACUCUCAGCCAGCAUGUAGAACAGAAUGGUUUAUUAGUUGACAGGAACACAGCGCAGAACAGAGCUUGCUAGCACAGAAAUCAGUGACUUUCAGCCAAGUCCAUCCUGGGGAGUCCUGGGCCAGGCAGCCUGGACUUCCCCUCUUCCAGUCCCCACAGGCAGAAUGCCCAACUUCCAGUGACCUGAUCUUUGACACCCCCAUUGCUCCUCCUCCUUCUCUUUGUCUCGCUUCCCAGGAAAAGAGUCACCUGGUUGUCAUCUGGUAGCAUCCCCCUCAUGGGUCUCAGGUUAUGAAGGGCACUGGCCAUAGCAUACACCCAGGCUGCUGGAGCAGCCUCACGUGCCCCAGAGGUCUCAGCCAAAGUCACACACCUAUUCCCACCACCGAAGAAUUGGUGCGGCACACAGAGAAACGGAGGCGCACACAGUAUUCAUGCAAAACAGUAAAACUCUGUGUGAUGGGGUCCGCUUACCCCACACUAGCCCAGACAGGGUUAAGCCCCAGGUAUUGACAGCGGAAGUCCCGCCCCUGGCAAGACUGGGCAUGCUCCAAGUGCUCUAGUAGUAUAAAGGGAGGGAGACCAGCUCAUGCUGGGCUGGAGGCCGCUGAGUCAGUGGCAAGCCGCUAUGCCACUGUUAGGGCCCUGGGUCAGGGCCUGGUGGAGUGGGGCUGCCACACCCCAAUGCUGUAGACUGUGGCCACUAGGCCACGCUACCCUACACCAAAGGGCUGCUUUAUGGACUCUGGCCGUUAGGCCCCACUGCCCUGUAGCAAAGGGAGGCUCUAUAGACUCUGGUCAUAAGGCCACGCUGCCCUGCCCCGAAAGGGUGGCUCUAUAGACUCUGGUCGUUAGGACAUGCUGCCCUGCACCAAAGGGUGGCACUAUAGAUUUUGGCCGCUAGGCCAUGCUGCCCGGCACCGAAGGGUGGUGCUAUAGACUCUGGCCUUUAGGCCGUGCUGCCCUGCCCCAAAGGGCGGCGCUAUAGACUCUGGCCGCUAGACCACGCUGCCCUGCACUGAAGGGCUGCUUUACGGACUGUGACCGAUGGCCCACACUGCUCUGACCCUAGGGGCGGGGACUGUCACACUCACAUAGGCUCAACAGUAAGGCUCACAUAGGCUCACAUACAACAUAACAAGGGAAAAUCCCCACUUU